rnacentral:rRNA from 1 species
UCGGGAAUAUUGCGCAAUGGAGGCAACUCUGACGCAGUGACGCCGCGUAUAGGAAGAAGGUUUUCGGAUUGUAAACUAUUGUCCACAGGGAAGAAAAGGACUGUACCUGUGAAGAAAGCUCCGGCUAACUACGUGCCAGCAGCCGCGGUAAUACGUAGGGAGCAAGCGUUAUCCGGAAUUAUUGGGUGUAAAGGGUGCGUAGACGGGAUAACAAGUUAGUUGUGAAAACCCUCGGCUCAACUGAGGACUUGCAACUAAAACUAUUAUUCUUGAGUGCAGGAGGGGAAAGUGGAAUUCCUAGUGUAGCGGUGAAAUGCGUAGAUAUUAGGAAGAACACCAGUGGCGAAGGCGACUUUCUGGACUGUAACUGACGUUGAGGCACGAAAGUGUGGGGAGCAAACAGG